AUUAUUAUACAUUUUUAGAGGUAAAGGAAGGGCCUGGGAGCUUGGGAGCGAGGACGCUAAUGGUAAAGUGCCUGGGGAGCAGAAGGGGGAGGGAAAGAGCAAGA